rnacentral:rRNA from 1 species
CUGACGGCUGUACCAGCCUGAAUACGCCUGGUCUCAUCUGAUCUCAGAAGCUAAGCAGGGUUAGUCCUGGUUAGUACCUGGAUGGGAGAUAAGCAACAGAAAAAUAACUGUACAGA